AAUGCUUUUGCAUAAACGUUUGUUUAUAAUUUACGAACGCAAGCAUCGAUCAAAAAAUGACUUCGAUAGAAAAAAUCAAUUUACGAACAUGCCGUUAAUGUUUUGACCCUCGGUUAUACCUACACACAAAACUUUCGAGGCUCCACUUAGCAAAAAUACUGUGUUACUUUCGAUUAGCAAAAAGAGUUGUUUUACUAACGCGAUAGCCAAAUAAUUAUUUUGCUUGGUUCUAGUAAAAAAUCAGCCUACCUAGCCGCUUCAUUUAGACAGCAGCCGCCGGCUUCGAGAAAAAAAUAGUUCGACGCGAAUCAGUGCUUUUGAACAAAUUAGAUGCUGGCGGAACCUGCAAAGACUGGGCUGACAACGACGGAAUGGAAACCAGGUCGACAUCGCUGCAUGUGAUGGACAAUUGGAUGAAGAUUGACACCGGGAGCAGACAGGUUGCUGCUGCCAUCAGGAUGACCGACUUAAGAAGUAAGCCGAUCUGGCCUCAUCUGUUUUCUGCUCGGCGGGGCUUUGUUUCUCAAGUGCAGAAAGUGUAGUGAAAUUUGAAAAAUAAUUUGUCAAAUAAAAAAGUGAAAAUAA